rfam:Xenopus laevis strain J chromosome 2S, whole genome shotgun sequence.
UCCUGCUGUCCUUCAUUCCACCGGAGUCUGUCUCAUACAUAAUCAGAUUUCAGUAGAGUGAAGCACAAGAGGCA